UACAGAGGUCUCAAGCGUUGUUCGGAUUCACUGGGCGUAAAGGGUGCGUAGGCGGGUCUUUAAGUCAGGGGUGAAAUCCUGGAGCUCAACUCCAGAACUACCUUUGAUACUGAGGAUCUUGAGUUCGGGAGAGGUGAGUGGAACUGCGAGUGUAGAGGUGAAAUUCGUAGAUAUUCGCAAGAACACCAGUGGCGAAGGCGGCUCACUGGCCCGAUACUGACGCUGAGGCACGAAAGCGUGGGGAGCAAACAGG
rnacentral:rRNA from 1 species